AGAGUUUGAUCCUGGCUCAGAUUGAACGCUGGCGGCAUGCCUUACACAUGCAAGUCGAACGGCAGCACGGACUUCGGUCUGGUGGCGAGUGGCGAACGGGUGAGUAAUGUAUCGGAACGUACCUUUCAGUGGGGGAUAACGUAGCGAAAGUUACGCUAAUACCGCAUAUUCUGUGAGCAGGAAAGCAGGGGAUCGCAAGACCUUGCGCUGAUUGAGCGGCCGAUAUCAGAUUAGCUAGUUGGUGAGGUAAAGGCUCACCAAGGCGACGAUCUGUAGCGGGUCUGAGAGGAUGAUCCGCCACACUGGAACUGAGACACGGUCCAGACUCCUACGGGAGGCAGCAGUGGGGAAUUUUGGACAAUGGGGGCAACCCUGAUCCAGCCAUGCCGCGUGAGUGAAGAAGGCCUUCGGGUUGUAAAGCUCUUUCGGCCGGGAAGAAAUCGCAUGGGUUAAUACCCUGUGCGGAUGGCGGUACCGGCAUAAGAAGCACCGGCUAACUACGUGCCAGCAGCCGCGGUAAUACGUAGGGUGCGAGCGUUAAUCGGAAUUACUGGGCGUAAAGCGUGCGCAGGCGGUUUUUUAAGACAGGCGUGAAAUCCCCGGGCUCAACCUGGGAACUGCGCUUGUGACUGGAAGGCUAGAGUAUGGCAGAGGGGGGUGGAAUUCCACGUGUAGCAGUGAAAUGCGUAGAGAUGUGGAGGAACACCAAUGGCGAAGGCAGCCCCCUGGGCCAAUACUGACGCUCAUGCACGAAAGCGUGGGUAGCAAACAGGAUUAGAUACCCUGGUAGUCCACGCCCUAAACGAUGUCAACUAGGUGUUGGGUGGGUAAAACCAUUUAGUACCGGAGCUAACGCGUGAAGUUGACCGCCUGGAGGGUACGGCCGCAAGGUUAAAACUCAAAGGAAUUGACGGGGACCCGCACAAGCGGUGGAUGAUGUGGAUUAAUUCGAUGCAACGCGAAAAACCUUACCUACCCUUGACAUGUCCAGGAGCCUGAAGAGAUUUGGGUGUGCCCGAAAGGGAACUGGAACACAGGUGCUGCAUGGCUGUCGUCAGCUCGUGUCGUGAGAUGUUGGGUUAAGUCCCGCAACGAGCGCAACCCUUGUCGUUAAUUGCCAUCAUUUAGUUGGGCACUUUAACGAGACUGCCGGUGACAAACCGGAGGAAGGUGGGGAUGACGUCAAGUCCUCAUGGCCCUUAUGGGUAGGGCUUCACACGUCAUACAAUGGUCGGUACAAAGGGUUGCCAAGCCGCGAGGUGGAGCCAAUCCCAGAAAGCCGAUCGUAGUCCGGAUCGCAGGCUGCAACUCGCC
rnacentral:rRNA from 1 species